rnacentral:snRNA from 9 species
AGCCGAUCAGGGGUGGAAGCAGACGGUUGUCAAUGUCGAAGGCAUGCUGCAGGCUGCAACAGAGGACACAGUU